rnacentral:lncRNA from 1 species
GUAAUGAAAUUCAUGGAGCAAGAUACCAGUCAUGCCCAUUUAAAAGCUGUGUUUUAUUAUUGCUGACCUGUUAUGUGUACUGGGAUUAGUGUCAAGGCUAAAGGCUUAGAAUUUAGUGCCAUGAACAUGUCUGACAACUUUUUUCUCUCUUACCUGCUUUCCUACUUUUAUUUUUUUUCUUCUUUUAUCAUUAUUAUUCUCAAAAGUAUUUGCUUAAAGCUAAAACACGUAGUAAUAGUCGUCUUAUAUUUGUACUAGCCAUGUUAUAGUUUUAAGUGGUGCCAUCUUGUCAAGUUUCAGCUAACUGUACGGAAGGCUAGACUAGGAUGUAAAGGGGGCAACAACUUUGCUAUUGGGAUCAGCAGAGUGAUCUUUCUAGAUCAGGGGAAAUAAAUGCUAUUACUGGUAUCCCAAGACAACCACUAACCCAAAUUAAAUGUAGAGAAUUCUUUUUUUUUUUCUGACCUCUAUUUAAAAUGUUGACCCAUUAUUAAAAAUGACAGUUUUUCAUAUACAUUAUAUCGAAUCAAGAGGUUUUCAUCUUAUUUCACUUUAUAAAUGUUACUAGAUACCAUAAAGAUAGUCAUUUUGUAUGUGUGUGUGUAUAUAUAUAUAUCUUUUCCCCUUGAAUGCUUGAUUGUAUUAGCUCUUAUUAGAACUUCUCUGGAUAUUUUAAGAUUGAGUUAAAUAUUUAUUUUCUACUCUUAACAUUUUUAACAGUAAAGGUAAUAAUUGCUAUCAUUGUUCCAUGGAUUGUGAUAAGUAUAUCAUUUUCCCUGUAACCAUCUGUCAAGAGAUGUUAUCCUCAUUUUAUGAGUGAAAACUGAAGCUUAGAUUAACAUGCUAGAAAUGAUACAUUGACUAUACAAAUGUUAACUGAUUGUCACUUCUACUGAAAGUACACUUGAGGUUAUCUUCUGUCAUUUAGUGAGUCAUUUGGUGAAUAUUUAUGGAACACUUUUGUGUGACUCCAACACUGUUCUAAUACUUGGGACAUAAUAAUAACAAAAAUCAGAGCAUGAUCCCUGACUUCAGAUGUGGUUCCUGUGGAGACCACUGUAAACAGCAUGUGUAUAGGCAAGGAAAUUAUAGCUUGUGAAGGCUCAUAUGGGUAAUAUGUGGAAGUACUAGAAAUUUAGACACAGGAAGUGUCUUUUGGACAAUGUUGGAAUUUGAAUAUUUUUUCAAGACAUUUUUGUAGUGAUAAAUUUAUGUCAUAUUUCAUAUCGUGACAUUUGUUUUAGGUGAUUUCUAAGCAGUGAGUAGGUGAUUUAAAAGCAGUACAAUUACUCUAUUUUUGGAAUCUGAUAGCAAAUGUUUAGGAAUUGCACUGACUUUUAGUGAUCUGGUUUAAAGAAAAACAAUACAUCAACCUUCAUGUGCUUAUAGCAUUAAUUGUCAGAAACUUUAUUCAGUAGGUUUUUGGUUUUGUUAAUGAGUAAGUUCAUGUUGGUUCAGUUUUUGUUCUUUUUGCAAACUACUGAAUUAUACCAGUGGAAUAGGUUUUUUGUAAUCCUUUUUAAAAUAUUUCCUUAAUACAAUGGCUGUGGUAGCUCACACUUUUAAUCCCAGCACUCAAAAGCAGAAGCAAAUGAAUUUCUGUAAAUUUCAGGCCAGCAAAGGCUACAUAGUAAGAAGAUUGCACCCCCCCC